rnacentral:precursor_RNA from 15 species
CAAGGCUCCAGCUCCUGGUGUGGGACCUUGGGAGGGGUUGAAGACUCGCCCCCUAUCCUGACUCUGAGGGGCGAUUUUACAACCCUUCCCACGAUUCUGCUACCAAACCCAAAGACAAACU